CCUACGGGAGGCAGCAGUAGGGAAUCUUCCGCAAUGGACGAAAGUCUGACGGAGCAACGCCGCGUGAACGAUGAAGGCCUUCGGGUCGUAAAGUUCUGUUGUUAGGGAAGAACAAGUGCUAGUUAAAUAAGCUGGCACCUUGACGGUACCUAACCAGAAAGCCACGGCUAACUACGUGCCAGCAGCCGCGGUAAUACGUAGGUGGCAAGCGUUGUCCGGAAUUAUUGGGCGUAAAGCGCGCGCAGGCGGUUUCUUAAGUCUGAUGUGAAAGCCCCCGGCUCAACCGGGGAGGGUCAUUGGAAACUGGGAAACUUGAGUGCAGAAGAGGAAAGUGGAAUUCCAAGUGUAGCGGUGAAAUGCGUAGAGAUUUGGAGGAACACCAGUGGCGAAGGCGACUUUCUGGUCUGUAACUGACGCUGAGGCGCGAAAGCGUGGGGAGCAAACAGGAUUAGAUACCCUGGUAGUCCACGCUGUAAACGAUGAGUGCUAAGUGUUAGAGGGUUUCCGCCCUUUAGUGCUGAAGUUAACGCAUUAAGCACUCCGCCUGGGGAGUCGGUCGCACGACUGAAACUCAAAGGAAUUGACGGCUGAGAGUGCGACGCGACGACGAGGGAGAGG
rnacentral:rRNA from 1 species